UGCAUCCUGACGGAUAAGGGGAAUCAAGUUUGAAAACAUCUACUUUAAAAAGAAUCAAGUCCAUUUUAUUAACGUUCCCAGUGAGACAGAAAUGCAAUGCUGUUUGGAACGCAGUGAGCGGAGACAUCUAGCCAUGAGCUGUGGUGACAUGUGGCAGUGACUGGAGGAGCCAGCAGGUGACGCUGUAGGGAGAGCUCCCGUGUUCACAGAGGAAUGGCUGUCCUGCUCCCGCUGUUGGUGGUCUUGCUACUCAAAGAGCCUGUUCACAGCUCAGGUGAUAGAUCAGCUAAGCUAGUGGGGGUGUGGAAGGACGUGGCCUCGCUGUGGAGGAGAGGGGGAGUUUGGGACCCCCGCAGAGAGCAGGAGCCCCUGGCUGGGCCACAGGGUCGACGCAUCCAGACCGUGGUCAGCAAC